CAGCAGCCACGGGAAUACGUAGGGUGCAAGCGUUAAUCGGAAUUACUGGGCGUAAAGCGUGCGCAGGCGGUUAUAUAAGACAGAUGUGAAAUCCCCGGGCUCAACCUGGGAACUGCAUUUGUGACUGUAUAGCUAGAGUACGGCAGAGGGGGAUGGAAUUCCGCGUGUAGCAGUGAAAUGCGUAGAUAUGCGGAGGAACACCGAUGGCGAAGGCAAUCCCCUGGGCCUGUACUGACGCUCAUGCACGAAAGCGUGGGGAGCAAACAGGAUUAGAUACCCCCGUAGUCCCUGUCUCUUAUAC
rnacentral:rRNA from 1 species